AUCAGUCAGCAUCACCGGUGCUUGAUUGCGCAUUGGUGCCACCUGUCAAUUACUGCGCUCCCCUCGGGCGCACUUUGUCUCUGUUGCGUGCUCCGGUUCCUUGAUGUGCUUGGCGUGCUUCGUGUGUGCUCAUUUUUGAGGUAAGCAUGGGCGCCGCUUGUGCAAUCUUAUGGCACAUCAUGGUGUGACAGCUGCGGUGAUUUAGCUAUUUUCAGUAUCGUUGGCCGCGCUGAUUGGGUGCAGUGUCGUGAAAGUGUGGAGUGUGGUGUCCGCGCUCUGUCACCGCAGACUGUGACUGGUACUGGGGCGCUCAAGCGCUCUUCGUUCGGCUGUUGAAGCCACAGCGGUUCCUCCAUUUCUUCUUCUGCGCUCCGUGUGAGGCCGCACUGCGCAGCUCAGUGACGUGCGCCACAGCGGCUAUCCAAGCGUAAACUGUUUGCAGCCUCCAGCCUGAUGCGGACGCUCCGUCUUCUACACGCCGUCUUUCUCGCAGUCCUUUCGGGCUCCUGGUGGUUUUCAGCCUCACUACAACUCCUGACAGGAGCUGGUGCAGUGUGUGGCAAACUUCCCUGCUGGAGGUCCCCAUUUCACAUCCCUUAACUUUGCUGUGGCACAUGGUGAUUCGGUUUGUAGUGGGUUUGUGUGAUUUGAGUAGUUUGACUGCCCACCUCACUAAGCCGUAGC